AUUGAACGCUGGCGGCAGGCCUAACACAUGCAAGUCGAACGAGUGGCGGACGUGUGAGUAAUGUCUGGGAAACUGCCUGAUGGAGGGGGUUAACUACUGGAAACGUUAGCUAAUACCGCAUACCAUCAGAUGUGCCCAGAGGGGAUUAGCUAGUUGGUGGGGUAACGGCGCACCAAGGCGACGAUCCCUAGCUGGUCUGAGAGGAUGACCAGCAACACGGGAACUGAGACACGGUCCAGGAUCCUACGGGGGGCAGCAGUGGGGAAUAUUGCACAAUGGGCGAAAGCCGGAUGCAGACAGGCCGCGUGUAUGAAGAAGGCCUGCGGGUUGUAAAGUACUUUCAGCGGGGAGGCGUUACCCGCAGAAGAAGCACCGGCUAACUCCGUGCCAGCAGCCGCGGUAAUUC
rnacentral:rRNA from 1 species